rnacentral:lncRNA from 1 species
CUGAUCUGUUUUUUAUUAAUGGCCUUUUUAUCCCUACGCUCUCUACAAAACCUAUAUCGUAUACGCUUUUUCAAAAAACUCUAUAUCCCCUACAGCACGCGACACGCGUGAUUCAAUAUAAUCGAUGCCUCUUCGGUUUCUCCUCGACCAUAUCACCACUCAUCGUUCCAAAAUCACUUUGUGUUCUCCGUCAUAACCAUAAUUUCUGUAUCAUCACUUAUUAUUUUCUGAAGGCUCUCCUGAUUAUAUACACACUUUUCUUCGUAAGUCCAUGGUUCCGACAACACCAAUAUCUUCUCCGGCGACGUUCCCUAUCACCAACCAACAAGCCACUCAACUUCAACACAAAUCAACUCUCACGCUUUCUGCACAUUCCUCUCAUGUAUCUCAUCUCUCCGCCACAGCCUCUCUCACCCCCCCCCAUGGAUGGAACUCAUUGAUUGGAGCUCGCUAGACCUGAUUCUCUCACCUACUCCGCAUACCAGAAUUUCUGCAACACUUGAAUAGCUGGAGCAUGUAGAAACUGAAUAUUUUCAAUAUGGAUGAUUCUAGUUUUUCUGUGAGGACUCAUCAUGUGCGAAGAUAUAGAGAAUAUGUUAAAAUCCAACAAGCGAAGUCCUAAUUCAACUCCUGAAAACGUUGGAAAGGAAGAUGAGAAGCUUAAAGCAGAAAAGAAAAUGCUCAGAUAAGAGAUAUGAACUUACAUAGCCAGCUAGACAGCUACAAAUACAUUAUCGAACAUACUUGUAUUUAUCCAGCUAUAUAUACUUUAUAAUGAAUCAACAAUUUUAUUAUCCGGCUACAUGUUUUUUGUAUGAACCAACGCUUUUAUUAUCCGGAUAUUAAACUUUAUAUUUCUUCCUUAUUAGAGUUAGCAUGCUGUAAAUAUUAUAAUGACACAUGCAAUGGCACAAAAAAAUAUCUACGCCAAUUUUAGUAUCCGGC